rnacentral:misc_RNA from 1 species
GCUCAUAUCCGCCCCUCCACAAGGAAUAAAAUUCGAAAAUAUAUUUAUGGAACUAUUUUUAUUUUAUCAAUUUUUCUCCUUUAUCGAUCACUGAACAGUCCAGACACAUCAAAACACGGAAUUGGCAGAAAUGGAGAUUUUAUUGAAUAUGAGCCAAAAGCAGGACCCACGAUAAAAGAGCCUGUAGAGAAUAUAGUUAAAUUGGACGUUUAUAUGGAAGCACAGUGUCCGGAUACAUCUAGAUUUUUCCGUCAACAACUUAAAAAAGCGUGGGAUAUUCUAGGAAGGCUAAAUCGAAUCGAAUUGAAUGUAAUUCCAUUUGGAAAAGCGAGGUGUACAGAGAAAGGAAACGAUUUCGAAUGUCAAUGUCAGCAUGGUCCGACAGAAUGUCAGAUUAAUCAAUUAAUGAAUUGUGUCAUUGAUCGAUUUGGGUUUCCACAUAGAUAUUUGCCAGGUGUUUUGUGUAUGCAGGGAAAAUAUUCAUUAGAUGAGGCAAUGAAAUGUGUUACUGAGAAUUAUCCAUCUGAAUAUGAAAGAAUGCGUGAAUGUGCAUCAGGAACUCGAGGUCGCCGCCUUCUUGCUCUUUCCGGACAGAAAACUGCAUCACUAACUCCAGCAAUUGACUUCAUUCCCUGGAUUGUUAUUAAUGGUUCACGUAACUCGGAUGCUCUUUAUGAUCUAACACAGAAUGUCUGUGAAGCAAUGCAACCAAUGCCAUCUGCAUGCAAAGAUUACUUACGUUCAUUACAAUAA